UUUAGCACGCGCAGGUUUUGAUCGUUGUGUUCGCGUAGAGACGCCUAGGCCUAAACGGGACAGGUUCUUCGAAGCGGCCGGAGUCAGCUCUGUGCGCGCCAUUGUGGAAAAAGGGGAAGGGGCGCCCACGUCCUAUAUUGUACUGAACAUAGGCAGUAUUCCAUCUGUGGAAAGAGAGGUCCUGGACCUCAGCAAGUUGAAGCAGGCCAAUUCGGAGGGGGGCCCAGCUUCUGCUGUGUGCAAGGAAGGAAUUUUUUUGGGUUUUUUUCCGGGAUUUCGGGGAGCGGGUGGCUCCCAGAGCCGCGGCUGAAGUCACGGGACGGUGCGGCGAGCUCUUAGGGCACGCCUCCUGUGACGGAAGGGGGAAAACAGCCGCUCUGAGAGCGGCGGCGGCUGAGGUGGCCCUGCUGUCGCCCUGGAAAUGGCUGGGGCAUGGGGCGGCACCGGGGCCCAGCCCAGGACCACCGGACGGGCCGCCGUGCAGCCCGCACAGCCCCUGACGGGGGCAGGAAUGCGAGACGCGCGGGCGGUGACGUGAUCCCCAUGGGUGCUAGCAGAGGGGGGGCUGCGCCCCUCGGAACCCUUGUGGGUGGGAAGACAGCUCCUACAAUGGACGGCUCUAUCGCAGUUUCCAUAGUAACGAGUUCUGUUAUGGAUAGAAACGGAAGCGACUGCGGGCGGCUGGAAGGGGCCAGCACGGGAGAAGUGGGUCACGAGGCACCUGUGGCGCCGGGAGUAUCCCCAGGCGAGUGUGUCCCUGCCACGCGUACGGUCUGUGGGAAAGGGGCUACACAUUAAAGAAUCACAUCAGCAAGGAAAAUCCUUCAGAUGACCAAUGGCGUCAGAGAAUUUCUCUGUCUUCCUAAGGCCUUCACCUUUCAGUGAAAUGACCCGAUGUCUCAGAAAGCCUCAAGCAGUGCUGGCAUCAGGAGACUUUGCCCCUAUCCUAAGUGACUGCAGACUCAUAUGCCGAUAUGUUCUGGUUUGUAAUGGAUGAUUGAUUUGCAAGGCUGUUUUGCUCUGAUUGUCCCUUGCUUAAAGAAGCAUUGGGCCUUCUAAAAUUUUUUUUUUUUCAUUUUAUACCAGGCAGUAUUUCCCCUGUCUGUGGUCUUGUGUCAACUAAAUCCUAACUAGCUGGUCUAUUUUUUUUGUGAUUUUUUUUUCCCUUGCAGAGGAGUUCAUGUUUUUUUAAAUUUUAAUGGCAAUAAAAUUACUUUGGAGAAACAACCAGAUGAGUUUUGUCUAAAUACCUUUGAAUGUACAAGGAUCAGCCAUGGUGGAAGAAGAUGGAAGCCCAUUCCUCAGCAGGCAAUCUGGACAGAUCAUCACACUUUCCGUCUUCUCCUUAGGACCACUAUGUGUCACCUCCUCCUCUCAUCUCAAACACUGGAUCCAAACAUAUAACAUCCACACUUCAUAAAUCUUUACAAGCUGUGUCUUCAGACACCAUGGGCAACCCUGUGGUGAGAGCCCUCAGGUUCUGCCAGGGUGUACAGACAUAUAGCCAUGUUACACCUCUGCUAACAUGAGGAAAUCCUCCAUGUUCAGUAAAAAGACCAUAAAACUGUUUCUCUGUGUAACCCCUUUCUGUAUGAAUGCUUACCUCUGAAAUACCAGUACAGGCCAGGCUACCUCUGGAAAAAAGCCUUUGAAUAGCCAGAAAGUCAGAGCUUCAAGCUUAGUGGCAUUUGGUGUUGAGGAAUACACUUAAUGCAAGUAGUUUGUGUGCUGCUGCAGUGCUAGUUGCAGCUUGUACUUUGUGUAUGGGGAAAUGGCUGGAGUUCCCAGCAAGAGCAGUGAUCUGGCACUGACCCCUUUGCACAAAGGGCAUGGGAACCUGUGGCACCAGCCAGGUGACCGGCCACUCAGAGAUACAGCAGGAGCCAACAGCUCAGCAGGAAGACCCCAGACUACUGUGUGCGUGGACUGCAGAUGCAAAAGUCCAGGGACCGUUUGGUUCAGGGUCCCUCCUUGGCAGCACCCAGCUUGAUCUCGAGUUGGUUAUGUGUGACUGUGCCAUGAUUGAAGUACUUAGAGAAAUCAGAUGUCUGAGGCUCUGUUAUGGGAAACCUGUGGCUGAGCCUGUAAGGAAAACUGGUCUGACUUUGUGAGAGUGGUGUAUUUAGGGAGUCUAGUGAGGCCACCCAUUGAGUCACUGGAGACAUCCACUGCAAAGGGUGUUUGGCACUAGCUGGGGUGAAACUCUUGGGUGGUAGAAGUGUGACUGCCAGAGUGGGUCCUGGAUGGUCAGAUGGGAAGGUUUCCUUUACAGCUGUCAUAGGACUGGAAGUGGGAUUUGUAAAUUACAACCUCCAGUUUAUAGUCCUGUCUUUUCCCUUAGAAUUCAACUAUAGCUUAAUUGAACAGUAAUACAAUCAUUAAUUUAACCUAUUCCAGUUCCCUGUAAUUUUUAAUGCAUGCUAAAAAAUGAUUACACAAUUUCUACAAAUAGCAGGAACUGAGCUUUUAAUUCCUCAUGCAAUGUACUAAAACAUAACCUGGCAGCAUACAUUUCUCUGCCUUACAGACUUUUUAAGAUGAUCCAGCAAGAAAAAGGAGUCCCUGAGUAAAUGGUAAUUGGAUUCUCAGUGUUUUUAGUGAAGAAUGGGUUAUCACAGAACAACACUUACAAAUUACCUGCUUUUAGGUGCGAAGGUUUGCUGGGGUGUUUUUAGAGCAUUAUUCUUGCAGGACUAUGUCUGCAUUUUGUUUGGGUAGUAAAAAAUGGAUGAAAGUCCAUUGCAUCCUUCACUCACUAAGGCAGCUGUGAAUUUUGCCACUAUAUUCAACAGACAGAAGGUCUGACUUUACUUUUUAUUUUUAUUUUCUUCCACUCUGAGAUCACGUUCUCAGAUCAUUGCAUUAACCUGUUUUCUGUAAAGCAACCUUUUUGUAUCAUGUCCAUAUUUGGAAAUACUUAUCACUGUUUCAAAUAUCUGGAUACUGUCGAGGUACUCAUGGAGGAAUUUUUGGGUGACCCUCAAUAUAAAUCCUAAGACUCUUUUUGUGUAGAAGAAAAACUUUUCCUUCAAAACUGGGGGAAUCCUGCAGAUGUACAAUUCACCCCUAGAGGUCACUGCGGUCCAGGGAUUUCAGUAAGCUCCAGCGAGCACCCAGCGUGGCGGGUGCCCAGAGGCUGCAGCGGUGGGGUCCUGCCGGCAGGGUUGGCGGGGCAUCUGCAGCCGCAGCGGAACCCUCAUGAGGGCUGUUCCCGCCUUCCCUUCCUUUAGGCUAUCUCCCAUUCCUUUUCUCUUUAUGACAUUUAAGGCUUACCACUAGAAACCAGCCAGUAGUCAUCUUUUUUUCAGAUGACACCGACUUCGGUGGUUUUUUUUUC